rnacentral:rRNA from 1 species
UAAGCGGGCAGUGAAAUCUUGUGGCUCAACCACAAGGCUAUUACCUGAACUGACAAGCUUGAGUAUGGUAGAGGUCACUGGAAUUCCAAGUGUAGGAGUGAAAUCCGUAGAUAUUUGGAGGAACACCGAUGGCGUAGGCAGGCGACUGGACCAUAACUGACACUAAGGCACGAAAGCGUGGUAGCAAACGGGAUUAGAUACCCCGGUAGUCCACGCCGUAAACUAUGGAUACUA